rnacentral:rRNA from 1 species
GAUGAACGCUGGCGGCGUGCCUAAUACAUGCAAGUCGAGCGAACGGACGAGAAGCUUGCUUCUCUGAUGUUAGCGGCGGACGGGUGAGUAACACGUGGAUAACCUACCUAUAAGACUGGGAUAACUUCGGGAAACCGGAGCUAAUACCGGAUGAUAUUUUGAACCGCAUGGUUCAAAAGUGAAAGACGGUCUUGCUGUCACUUAUAGAUGGAUCCGCGCUGCAUUAGCUAGUUGGUAAGGUAACGGCUUACCAAGGCAACGAUGCAUAGCCGACCUGAGAGGGUGAUCGGCCUCACUGGAACUGAGACACGGUCCAGACUCCUACGGGAGGCAGCAGUAGGGAAUCUUCCGCAAAGGGCGAAAGCCUGACGGAGCAACGCCGCGUGAGUGAUGAAGGUCUUCGGAUCGUAAAACUCUGUUAUUAGGGAAGAACAUAUGUGUAAGUAACUGUGCACAUCUUGACGGUACCUAAUCAGAAAGCCACGGCUAACUACGUG